rfam:Oryza nivara chromosome 8, whole genome shotgun sequence.
AAUUUCAGCUGAAAAAGUCAUGAACAUAAAAGUUGUAGAGCUCAUCAAGACGUACAACUUUUAUUUUGGUUAUUUCUUCAUCUGAUAAAGUGAUAAUAAUAUUGUUCACAAACUUUACAUAUCUCUCUUAUGGUUUAUAGAACCAGAUGAGACAGAUGCAAAUUUUGUAAACAAUGUUACUAUCACUUUGUCGGAUGAAGAAACGACCAAAAUAAAAGUUAUAGAUCUUGAUGAGUUAUACAACUUUGUUGUUGAUGACUUUUUCAAUUGAAAUC